GACGAACGCUGGCGGCGUGCCUAACACAUGCAAGUCGAGCGGGGUUAUACGGAAGCUUGCUUCUGUAUAACUUAGCGGCGGACGGGUGAGUAACGCGUGAGUAACCUGCCCGUAAGACGGGGAUAACACAGAGAAAUCUGUGCUAAUACCCGAUGAAGAAAUUUUGCUGCAUGGCAGGAUUUUGAAAGAUUUAUCGCUUACGGAUGGACUCGCGUUCGAUUAGAUAGUUGGCAGGGUAACGGCCUACCAAGUCGACGAUCGAUAGCCGAACUGAGAGGUGGAUCGGGCACAUUGGGACUGAGACACGGCCCAGACUCCUACGGGAGGCAGCAGUGGGGAAUAUUGCGCAAUGGGGGGAACCCUGACGCAGCAACGCCGCGUGAAGGAAGAAGGUCUUCGGAUUGUAAACUUUUGUCGCAAAGGAAGAAAGAAAUGACGGUACUUUGUGAGAAAGCCACGGCUAACUACGUGCCAGCCGCCGCAGUAA
rnacentral:rRNA from 1 species